CUAGUAACGGNNGAGUGAAGCGGGAACAGCUCAAAUUUGAAAUCUGGGAGGUUUGCCUCUCCGAAUUGUAGUUUAGAGAAGUGUUUUCGGCGGCGGCCAGGGUAUAAGUCUCUUGGAACAGGGCAUCAUAGAGGGUGAGAAUCCCGUCUUUGGCCCAUGGUCUGCUGCUAUGUGAUACACUUUCAAAGAGUCGGGUUGUUUGGGAAUGCAGCCCAAAAUGGGUGGUAAAUUUCAUCUAAAGCUAAAUAAUGGCGAGAGACCGAUAGCGAACAAGUACCGUGAGGGAAAGAUGAAAAGAACUUUGAAAAGAGAGUUAAACAGUACGUGAAAUUGCCAAAAGGGAAACGCUUGAAACCAGUAUUGUUUGCGGGAAAUCAGUCAGGCUUGUCGACUUGUUCAUGGCUUUGGACCGCAAGGCCAAGUUAUGGAUAAAGGAGGUUCAGCCUGGUGCACUUUUCCGUGAACAGGUCAACAUCAGUUUGACUUGCGGGAAAAAGGUCAAGGAAAGGUAACCCCCUCCGGGGGGUGUUAUAGUCCUGAUUUAUACCGUGGGUUAGACUGAGGAUCGCAGCGCAGGCUUCUUGGCGGAGAACCCAGCCGUUGCCUUGGCCUUUUUCGCAGACAGCGUGCUGACUGUCGAGAAAUGCGUCGGGGCACGCGGUUGGUUCACUACCUCUGUGCUUAGGAUGUUGACGAAAUGGUUUUAAACGACC
rnacentral:rRNA from 1 species